rnacentral:misc_RNA from 1 species
AACGCACAUUGCGCCCGCCAGCACUCUGGCGGGCAUGCCUGUCCGAGCGUCAUUACAACCCUCAGGCCCUGCCUGGCGUUGGGGCACUGCCGUCCGCGGCAGGCCCCCAAAGACAGCGGCGGGAGCGCCCUGGGACCGAACGCAGUAGCUCGCUAUCGUUCCGGGACCCGGGCGCCCUCCGGCCGUAAAACCCCCCAAUCUUGACGUGUUGACCUCGGAUCAGGUAGGAAUACCCGCUGAACUUAA